UAUAUAUUGGUGUAAGAGGCACAGGAAUUUUUGAUGUUCUAGGAGUAGUUUAAUUCUAUAAUAUAUAA
rnacentral:tRNA from 1 species